GGUAUCAAAGUGAGGCAAGGACGCCAUCUUGAAAGGUGGCAAAAAGCAAAACUCAAAAUGAAAAGUAAGUUAAAAAAAAGUUUAAAAACCCCAUCCUAUCAAACAUUUCAAGAAUUAAACUUAGACUAUCAACUUUGCGACUCUAUAGCAACUCAGCAAAAGCAGAUAUUACUCGUAAAUACUCUCAAUUUUGCCACCCUUUAAGAUGGCGGCAAGAUGGCUGCGCAUAUUGGCGGAGUCAGAUAUCUAGUAGAUUGGGUUCUAUGUCAUUGUAACAUGUACAUACGUCAGCAAUCUAUGUUUAAUAUAUCUAUGAGUUUAACCCUUCGGGAUGGCGUAAAAACUGCUCUAUCUUAAUUGUUCAGCUUCAUAAAGUAUGUCAUGGCCAACGUUGGCGUUGCAUUUCGAAAAGAGUUAGCUGUAUAAAAGAAGGAUCGUGAAUAAUGACAUCCUUAAUUGUAAUCGUAAAAUAUGAAUCCGGUGGCAAAUCCUAACACUGAUCGUCUUUAUUGUACUUUACUUCUCAAAUGUCUACAUCCAGUCUGUCUGUUGAUCUGCAUGCUUUCAAUGCAUGCCACGUCAGACACUUGAAUUCGCUAGAUGUCUCUAUGCGAGGUAACAAGUUGAAACAUCAGUUCACAUCCUCGAAGAACAAAUAAUGAUUUAUAAGUUCUGUCGUGAAUGCUGUUGGACUUUAGAGGUCACAUGCUGAAACAUCAGUUCGCAUCCUCGAAGAACAAAUAAUGGUUUAUAAGUUCGGUCGUGAAUGCUGUUGGACCUGUGAGGUUACAUGCUGAAACAUCAGCUCACAUCCUCGAAGAACAGAUAAUGGUUUAUAAGUUCGGUCGUGAAUGCUGUUGGACCUGUGAGGUUACAUGCUGAAACAUCAGUUUGCAUCCUCGAAGAACAAAUAAUGGUUUAUAAGUUCGGUCGUGAAUGCUGUUGGACCUGUGAGGUCACAUGCUGAAACAUCAGUUCACAUCCUCGAAGAACAAAUAAUGAUUUAUAAGUUCUGUCGAGAAUGCUGUUGGACCUGUGAGGUUACAUGCUGAAACAUCAGUUUGCAUCCUCGAAGAACAAAUAAUGGUUUAUAAGUUCGGUCGUGAAUGCUGUUGGACCUGUGAGGUCACAUGCUGAAACAUCAGUUUACAUCCUUGAAGAGCAAUUGAUGAUUUAUAAGAUUUGUUGAGAAUGCUGUUGGUCCUGUGAUGUCAUGCUGAAAUGUUAGUUCGCAUCCCAUCGAAUAGGCUUAGCAAAAUGAUUUAAAAGUUUUCUUAAGAAUGUUGCUGAACUGCUUCAAGUCUUAAACUUUAUAAAAUCAACUGAUUUCGACAUUGGUAUAUUUCCAUAGACAGAAAGAUAGAUAUAGACAUUCUUUAUACCUCACUGCUAUUUGUUGUCACUGUAGAUUAUAAAUAAAUUUUAUAUAAUUGAAGUGAUAAAACAUAGUCUUCAUCUUGUAUAAACUCAAGAUUUGAGUUAUAUUUGCUAUAGGGACAAGAUUUAAAAGCAAUAUUUACACUCUAUUUCAAAGUGAUUAGCAACCUUUGUGAUUAUUUACAAGGAGUAACUAUGCAAGAUCACACUUGCUUAUAAAUAUAAUCACUUGGCUUUUGAAUCUUGCUUCUGGCUAUAAUAUUGCUCGAAUCUCGAGUUUACCAGAUGACACAUUUUUGGAGUAUUUAUCUCUUCAUAUUGUCGGCCGGAAAAGGUUUUGGGUGUACAAUUUUACAAAAUUUUACAAAUCCUGAAUUAGGAAGAGUCGAGUAUAUAGUCCUUGAAGGCUUUAGACUAAAGCUGCGAGAUCAAAAUGAUCGCAUAAGACAUACAGCUACUUUUUCAUUCAAGGUGCAAAUACACAAUUAACAAUAUAGCAUGCGGUGUUUUCCAUAAUUGCCUAUUUUUUAUAUUGUAUUGACUGAGUUAUUACAUUCAGACGCGACCACACGGCAUGACCGUUCAAAUAUAAUUUGAUCGUGAUAA